UAGAAGUUUUGUCAUGAAAGAUGCACUAAGAAAGCUCUAGGAACUUGAGCUUGGACAACAUACGUGAAUAAAGUUCAGAACCAUAUUUUGGUUAUCCUUUUUUUCUUUAUCUCCUAGAUCAAAUAUUUUGUUGCAUAUAGGAAGCUGUACCUCUUAAGAAAUAAGUAUUGAUUCUCAACUGUUGCUUAAAUAUUUUUAGAACUGUUAACCAAGAAUUCCUGCAUUGGGAUCACCAAGGGUCUCAUCUUCUGCUUUGCCUUUCCUCUUCUUCCUUUUCCCACUUUUCUUUAUUUAAGCUCUCUUCUUUUUCUUUUUCUCCCUUUCGACAUCCCUAACAUCCUUUUUCUCUGUAGAUCCUGCAUCUUCCCUGCCUUCCCUUUUCUUUUUCUUGUUUCACCAAAACUAAAUGAAAGGAACUAGGGUAGUUGCAGCUAUCUGUGAAACUUAGGUGUUUUUACUUGCCAAGGAUUCAGUAAGGAGCACAAUGCAAUGUGGGGAAAAAAAAAGUCAAAGCAGCUCCUUGGCACUUCACCAUGUCUUCUUCUCUUUUAUGUUCGCCCACCAAUUUAACAUAUUUAAUUAUUCAAAGUGUCUUUUUUGUUUUCCAAGUGUUUCUCGUACAUAGUACUUUUGCUUUUGCAGUUAAUGUGACAAAUUCUAGUUCUGGUUGUCACUGAAUUGCCAAAUCAUCAUUUAUACCUAUAGGCAGAGAAGGGACAAUGAUGAAAAGGAUAUCACAGAUGCCUAUUAACAUGGCUUCUUUCUUGGUCUAUGUGGCUCUUUUGUUUUCAAAGCACCACACUUGGAACAGUUUGUUCAUCAUUGUUGUUCAGGAUAUCUUCAAAGUUCCAUCCUUUGUGUUUUUGCCUGAAAGCACUUAAUGGGGACUGAGGCGUGGUUGAUCGAUUGUUUGAUUGAUUUUGCGGCUAAAAGCAAAACAUCACCUUUUGAGAAUCAAAAAAGAGGAAGAAUGUUAUAUACUGAUAAAAAUGUUCCACAUUGAGUGAGGGAUGGGCUGUUGUCUCCUUAUAGGCAAUCCUCAGUUCAUGAUUUAGUAAUUUGGGUUGAGUUGGACCAAUGUCCAUUUUCAUGUAGUAUUGCUUUGUUUUGGAUGAACACAUUAUCAAAUCUGAUUGUUUUUGCUCUUAACUUCAGAUCUUACAUUGCUGCUCUUCUUCCUUUUCUUGUAGGAUGAAGGGAACUAAAGCACCAUCUUCAGAUUGUUGCAUCUACAUGGCCGGACAUUGUUUCUUGAUUAUGUAUCUUUGCGAUGUCUGAUAUCUGCAAGAUAAUCUGUAAUAGAGAACAUAAAAUUUGAUGUUUUCAUUUGGUGGUACAAAUUUGUAGUCUCGCAAUCCAGUUGCAGUCAAGCACUCCCCUCCUCCCAAAUCCACCAAAAGAAAAAAUAUUUC
rnacentral:lncRNA from 1 species